GACGAACGCUGGCGGCGUGCUUAACACAUGCAAGUCGAACGGAAAGGCCCUGCUUUUGUGGGGUGCUCGAGUGGCGAACGGGUGAGUAACACGUGAGUAACCUGCCCUUGACUUUGGGAUAACUUCAGGAAACUGGGGCUAAUACCGGAUAGGAGCUCCUGCUGCAUGGUGGGGGUUGGAAAGUUUCGGCGGUUGGGGAUGGACUCGCGGCCUAUCAGCCUGUUGGUGGGGUAGUGGCUUACCAAGGCUUCGACGGGUAGCCGGCCCGAGAGGGUGACCGGCCACAUUGGGACUGAGAUACGGCCCAGACUCCUACGGGGGGCAGCAGUGGGGAAUAUUGCGCAAUGGGCGGAAGCCUGAUGCAGCAACGCCGCGUGCGGGAUGACGGCCUUCGGGUUGUAAACCGCUUUCGCCUGUGACGAAGCGUGAGUGACGGUAAUGGGUAAAGAAGCACCGGCUAACUACGUG
rnacentral:rRNA from 1 species